CGGGCCGGAGUAUGCCGGUAGUACGCACGAUUCGGGUUCGUGCAGACCGGGUUCGAUUCCCGGCGGCCCGA
rnacentral:tRNA from 1 species